AGCAGAAAUAACACUUCUAGAAUUCUAAAACCAGCAGAAAUAACACUUCUAAAAUUCUAAAACCAGCAGGAAGCAGAGGAAAUAAUUCCAAGUAGAAACAAUUGAAACUCCUCUCCUGGUCAUGACGUCACCUCGUUGCUGACACCACGCUUUCCAUUCGACCGAUUGCACACGUGAUUCAGAGCGUGGACAACCCAGAAGAAUGCAGCUCGAGUUUCUGAAGGGGAACAAAGAAAGCUCCAUGAAGAUAUAAUUUACUUGGGUUAUAGUGGAAGAUGUUAAGUGGCCUGUUAUAGAGCUCUGACCUCAAGUCUAACAUCUUUGGGAUUAAUUGAAAUGCUGACUGCACUCUAUAGUAUACUUUGCACUAUGUUCCCAGAGAGCGGAGGUUAUUAUAAUAAGUAGGAAGCAAAUGGCAAUAUCAUUGCAAAUGGGAAAUAAAUGUGGAAUUGGAUGUUCAAAAAGCA